CAUCAUCACCAUCAUCCUGACUAGUCUUUCAGGCGAUUGGUGCUGGAAGACAUCUAGAUCUUCCAGUGGCGCAGAAUGCUAAAGAGAGCCCUCGGAAGAUCAUCUUCCGAGGGUUUUUUUA
rnacentral:sRNA from 1 species